AAUUUUGGACAAUGGGGGAAACCCUGAUCCAGCCAUCCCGCGUGUAUGAUGAAGGACUUCGGGUUGUAAAGAACUUUUGGCAGAGAAGAAAAGGAAUCUCCGAAUACGAGAUACUGCUGACGGAAUCUGAAGAAUAGGCACCGGCUAACUACGUGCCAGCACCCGCGGUAAUACGUAGGGGUCAAGCGUUAAUCGGAAUUACUGGGCGUAAAGUGUGUGUAGGCGGUUCGGAAAGAAAGAUGUGAAAUCCCAGGGCUCAACCUUGGAAAUGCAUUUUUAACUGCCGAGCUAGAGUAUGUCAGAGGGGGGUAGAAUUCCACGUGUAGCAGUGAAAUGCGUAGAUAUGUGGAGGAAUACCGAUGGCGAAGGCAGCCCCCUGGGAUAAUACUGACGCUCAGACACGAAAGCGUGGGGAGCAAACAGG
rnacentral:rRNA from 1 species